rnacentral:rRNA from 1 species
GACGAACGCUGGCGGCGUGCUUAACACAUGCAAGUCGAACGGAAAGGCCCUGCUUUUGUGGGGUGCUCGAGUGGCGAACGGGUGAGUAACACGUGAGUAACCUGCCCUUGACUUUGGGAUAACUUCAGGAAACUGGGGCUAAUACCGGAUAGGAGCUCCUGCUGCAUGGUGGGGGUUGGAAAGUUUCGGCGGUUGGGGAUGGACUCGCGGCUUAUCAGCUUGUUGGUGGGGUAGUGGCCUACCAAGGCUUUAACGGGUAGCCGGCCUGAGAGGGUGACCGGCCACAUUGGGACUGAGAUACGGCCCAGACUCCUACGGGAGGCAGCAGUGGGGAAUAUUGCACAAUGGGCGGAAGCCUGAUGCAGCAACGCCGCGUGCGGGAGGACGGCCUUCGGGUUGUAAACCGCUUUCGCCUGUGACGAAGCGUGAGUGACGGUAAUGGGUAAAGAAGCACCGGCUAACUACGU